GGCUUCAGAUAUGUCCAUCUGAGUAGGAUCUUGGUCCUGUAAGUGGGCAAUAGGGGCAGAAGGUUGUCCCCACUGUGAUGGUGAUUAAUGAGGUUUUGUGUUUUAGGAAGAUUAGCUGGGAAGCUUCAUGUAGGAAGGUGGUAUCAGGGACCAGGGGGGCUGGCGACAGUGUAGCCAUGAGGCUCAGGUCUAAAAUGAGUGACUUUUCCUCUCCCAUCCCAUGUUUCUGAUGGAGAGUCCAAGAGAUGGAGUCAAUUCGUGCAUAAUUGAAAAUGAACAAAAUCCAGGAAUGGGCUUAUAAUAAGCUCAGCACAUAACUGUGAAAUGACCUUACCUUAUCAUGGGAAGGUUUUCUCUCACUCUCUGCUCUCUCUAAACAUGUUCCUAUUUCAUUCCCUGGCCCCCAUCUCUUCCUCUUCCAAGGGUGGAAUCUAGAAGAGAAUGCUCUCUGUUUAGAAUAACAUUCCUACCUGAUUGGCUGCUGACUUGUUAAUAUUAUUGUUAUUCUCUACAAUGCAUAUGCAAUUUUCAGAUAUCACAUCUGGAGGCUUCUACCCCAGAGAAGAAUAAAAUUGCAGCUGAAAGUGUCCAAAAAGUGGUUGGAUUUCUGAGUUUCAGACCAGCUAAAUUGACAGCUUUUUCCGGCUCUAAUUUCUGUGAUAGGAGCAAGGAGCAACCUUCACAGCUCUCUCCCCUGGCCCAUGCUCUCCAGCCCAGUGACAAGUUAGGAGGCUGCUUUGCUACUCUUUGUGAUACUGGGUUCUGCCCCAUCUUUCUAAAGCAAUCUUAUAAAUCAUUGAUGAGAAUAUUUCUAUUUUUGUCUUAAAUAUCCUAGCCAAGAAAGCUUAUGAAUACUUUCCAAAUCAAGUGCUGGCAUUGCACGAUGCUUCCUCAUUGAUGGCAGCCCCAUUUCAUUGUUUUUUCACUUCUUGGCUCUUCCAUCCAUGUCAGCAAUGCCAAGUCUCAGCUUGUGGGUGGGGCCUGACCCUGGUGCAGUACCCUCUGUGGCCUCCCUUUCUUGGGCAGAAGCUCCUUUUUUUUCUUCUUCUCCAUGGCUGCCCCCCCCCAAACCUCCAUCUUAAACCUUUAAACCUUGAAAUGCUAUAAAUUGUGACUGGUAUUUAUUCUCAGCAAGGUUUCUUCCUGAUGUGCAUCCUGCUUCUGGAAACACCACCCCUCCAUCCUGAUCAUCAUUCGUUCCAUGCCUAGGAAUUCAACUCACUUGAAUAUCAACCUACAUUUGAAGGCAUGGAGUUCCAAUAUAAAAAAGACACUCUCCUGUAGUGCCUUCCAAACUCUGCGAGUUUAUAAGAACCGUGUCCCCCCUCAUUCACCACUAUAUUACCUGACACAUGAUUUAAAUCUUGCAAUCACCGCUGGGAAGUGAGCUGUAUCAUCUUGAGAAAUCAGACCACAGAGUCGGGCCUGCAGCUGGCAGGCUAGGUCAUCUUUAAUCGCUUAACCCUUCAUAUCAAAGGAUGGGUUGUAGCAGCAGAUUCUUCCUCAAGAAUUUGCCGUGGCAGAUUUUCUCAAGGAAAAGCUGGGAGUUAAAAUGAAGCAGAGUAUGUACAGCAAAAACCUUGCCUUAAAUGCACAUUAACAAGUCAAGUGUGGGCAGUGCUGGCGUUCUCCAGUACUUUACUGAGGCCUUGGGAAGAAAGCCAAGAAGAAACCAGCCCAGGGAGGAUGCUGAGGAUGCUGCACUGUGAUUUGCUCCUCAGCAGCGAAAGGAUUCCCCUUAUCCCCGCUUCCAGCUCAUCUUCAUGGGGUGGGCAUCACUUCCGCACCUGUUACCCAGGAGCGCACCCCGGGCGUCUUGACUCCUUGAAGAACGGUGCCUAUGAAAUGCGGCUCUGAGAGAAACAAGAUUCUCUUCACUGCCUGAGGCCUGCCUUUCGGGAACCUGCCACCUCUUUGGAUAAUUGACUCUAGGGAUGCUUGUCCCUCUCAAGGGAGACCACGUGCACUUCCAGGGACAAGACUUUUACCCUGCAGACCACAACAGGGUAUCCGGAUGUAAUUAUAAUGAUUGGCCUAAUCAAGAUGGCUCUACUCAUGUGUAAAAGCAGAGGUUGUGUGAGAAAAUUCUGUGUGUGUGUGUGUGUGUGUGUGUGUGCAUAAAUGCAAGAAUGUUGGCUCAGAAGUCAGGGCACAUGACUUUUACAGUUCCAGCUCCAGUCUUAUCUUUUUAAGCAAAUUUUUAAAUAGUUUUUAUUUAUUUAUUCAUUUAAAUGAUCAGUACACCCAACAUGGAGCUUAAAUUCACAAUCCCAAGAUCAAGAG